UGAUACUUUUCAGAAUUCAUACUUUUCUUUUAUGAAAGUUAGUCAGAUAACAUCUAUCUGAAAAAACAUCUUGAGUAUAUCAAACUGAAUAUGAGGCAAAAUUCUAGUUACUUGCGGAUAAAAAGAUAUUCACAAUCAAACAUUUUAUGAAUAAAAAGUCAAACAUUGAUCACGAUUUUGGAGGUCUAAACAAUCUCAAGCGUCCUGAAAUUCGUACUGAACUUCCAACUUAGUAGGUACUAUUAAGUUUGAUUGUCAGGCCUCAUCUAGUUCUUCUCAGUCCGUAUAUUUUAACUAGUUCUUCUCGAUCCGUAUAAAUAAAAUUAAGAAUCGUCUCGAUCUGAAUUAAUAUUAGAAGAUACAUCUUUGAACUUCGACUCAAUCUAAAUCAAACUUAAUCACCUAAAUUUUUCUGAAUCAGGAUGUUCUCAUGUUAGUCACAACACUUUUUAAGAUGACCCUCAACUAAUUAAGAGUGCAAAUUAAGUUUGUCCUGUAGAAUGCGAAAUGCAUAAGAUACAUAAAACUGAUAUGUGAGAUGAGAUCUUAGGUUUUGGCUCCCAUAAGAAAUGAUCCGGAAUUGUAUGUACCAAACGAAGGUUAAACAAACAGCGCCAGCAGAGUUUGCCUACAACCUCAUUUUGCUCAGAGUGCAGAAAAUGUGUUCUCACGAGCAAAAUAGAUAACAUGCAAUGAUUAAAAUCCACAACCUUAGAAAUCCGAGGAGUUUAGGAGUGAUUUCGAUACUAGGUUACGUAACAGAUCGAUCUAAUGAAAAGUCACUUAGAAAUAGUGUUACCAUCCAUUACAUUUGGUCAAUUAUCUUACAACCUAAAUUUCUUCCAAUCCUCAACACUACAAAUUCCAACCACUACAAAUCAAAGGAUGGGGACCUGAUGUAGAGAUCGGUGACGUUGAGGGAGAGCUGGGCGUGCUAGAGGGGAUUCUCGGCGAGCCACACGGCGCGGUCGUCGCGGCUCCGUCGAAACCCUAGAUGCCGUCGCCGAGAGCUUUCUCAGCCACUCCUCCGCCGCCGCCGAGAGCUCCUCCGCCGGAGACGACGACGCCGCCGCCGCUGCCGAUAGAGAACCGACACAGCUUGGAUCGAGAGAGGAGCGGGGAGGGGGAGGAGGAGGGAGGAGGGGGAGCCUGGAUCCAGAGAGGAACGGGGAGGGGGACGGGGACGGGGAUUGGGGAGGGGGAGGGGGAGUGGGCACGGGUUGAGAGAGGGCGCAGGUUGGGUUGGGUUAGGUUGAGGUUGGGUUAGGUUGGGGUUGGAUUAGGAUUAUAUUUAAUAUAUAAAUAUUAGUAGAUUGAAACUAUAUAUUUAAAAAUAAUUGUCGCUAAAGGUGUAAUAAAAUAAUCGUAAUAGCGGCCGUUUGAUAAUCACCGCUAAAUAAUUGCCACAAAAAGUCCCUUUUGGUGUAGUGCAAGUAAAUAACAUGAAUGCUUGCUAUAACAUGAUGUCUCUACUUAGCAUGAUUUGCAUAAGUAAGAAAGCUACUCUAACAUGAAUAAACAUGAGUGUGCAACCAACAUAAUGUCCACAAUGGAAAUAGUAAGAUGUCAUUAUUUACUAUUCUAGUUCAAGUCCACUUGGCAUAUUAACUACUUAUAGUUACAAUCUUGUAAGACCCACCCAUAGGCUGUCUGGCCUGUGCCGUGCCUAAUGGCCCCGUGGUAGUCAACAUCCCCACUCUAGGAAUGAGCCUCCCCACGGCAAUCCAUUUCGGCGCCCAAUCCCGCAUGGGCGAGCAUAUGUCGCGAUGGCUAUCUCCGAAGUGCUGGCUUGUACGGAGCGACCCUCACAAGCAUGUGUUAAUGAGCACAAGGGCAAGCAAGCGUAAAAUCUGUCUCAAGUCUCAAGUCAUCAUGU
rnacentral:lncRNA from 1 species